UUUCGUACGUAGCAGAGCAGCUCCCU
rnacentral:piRNA from 5 species